rnacentral:tRNA from 1 species
GCGGUCGCUGGCCGGGCUGGACCGGCCCGACGCCGGCACCGUCGAGGUCACCGGGCCGGUCUCGGUGGCCUUCCAGGAGCCGCGGCUGCU